GGACUACAGUGUGAGCCACCCUACCCAGCCUUAUUUAGGUAUUUCUAUAACCAGAAAGAAAAGUUCAUAAAAUUUUUGUUGGUGAAAAUCAAAAUAUGAUAACUGAGUAGUUUCUUAAAUACAAGUAGCUACAGUUUGAAUGUUUGUUCCUAAUCCCCAGUGAAACGGUAUUAAGAGGUGGGGCCUUUAAGAGGUGAUUGGGUUAUGAGGUCGUGCCAUUCAUGUGUUAAUGGAUAAAUAGGUUAUCAUGGGAGUGGGACUGGUUUGGAGCUUGCAGUGAGCCGAGAUCGCACCACUGCACUCCAGCC
rnacentral:lncRNA from 1 species